CCUACGGGUGGCAGCAGUGGGGAAUAUUGGGCAAUGGGCGCAAGCCUGACCCAGCAACGCCGCGUGAAGGAAGAAGGCUUUCGGGUUGUAAACUUCUUUUAAGAGGGAAGCGCAGAAGACGGUACCUCUUGAAUAAGCCACGGCUAACUACGUGCCAGCGGCCGCGGUAAGAAGGUGGUGUCAAUCGUCGUCCGGAUUUACUGGGGGAAAAGGGCGUGCAGCCGGGAAGACAAGUUCGAUGUGACAUCCCGCGGGUCAAACGCGGCACAGCAUUUGAAACUGUUUUUCUAGAGUACCGGAGAGGUCAGCGGAAGUCCGUGUGUAGCGGUGAAAUGCGUAGAUAUAAGGAAGAACACCAGUGGCGAAGGCGGAGGACUGGACGGCAACUGACGGUGAGGCGCGAAAGCGUGGGGAGCAAACAGGAUUAGAUACCCCAGUAGUC
rnacentral:rRNA from 1 species